CCCGCUUGGAUUUACAUCGGCUUUUAUAGGCUUGGCAACGUCCCUGUACACCCGCCAUAGAAGCCCCCGGAACCAACGGUGAUGUCAAGAAUGCUGACGGAAUAGAAAAGCAUAACAGACCGUGCUGCUUUCGCUGCUACCAGCAUCCUUGCAGGACGGUGUUGUUUGAAAACGUACACAGCCAAAACGUGUGAUCCCUCGCACAUAAUCACCUAAAAAGUUCUCUUACGUCUAGCUUAAUCUCAACUAUGAUUGUUUCACUUCAACACAGGAAAUACUUUAUUGACCCUCGGGGACUGAACGGACAAGGCGAGCGAACAUGACGUGCCUUUGCAUGCGUUGCGUCCAGCGUCCACUAUAAACGUGCAAUAUGAGAGAGAAAGGAGCUUGAAGAUUAGGCUUAUUGCAACUAAAAAACGAGAGGUCCAUGAACGUUAAAAGGAUGCUUCAACGAGAAACGCAUAGAAUUUCCGUGUGGUAAACAGGGUCACGUCAACCCAAUGGCGGAUCCACCACUGAUCUAGAACUCGGAUUAGUUAAGCUCUUAACGAUAACUGGUGUCCUGGCCGAGCCCAGAGCAUAACUUCAUGCAGGUGUUUUUCGAAAAUCUAGAGCAAUACUUAGAAUUGGUCUAAGAAGAGACGCAAUUUAACCGGUGUGUGGCGAGCUGGCACGAUGGUGUCCUUGACGAAGAGCGUGUCGAGGUGAAAGUAACGUGUGGUCUUCCGGAUGACUAGAGGAA